CAUUCACAUUGAUGCCCAUUUCACUUGGCUUUACUCCCCUAUCCCUUCCUGGGCGUUCUGCCCCGUUAAUUCUGGUGUCUUCUCUUUUCUUUUACUCUCUUUCCCUUGUAUCUCCAUUUUGUCCUCCCUUCUCCAGAUAAAAUCCCACGGCCUGCCCGGUCUUACUCGAGGAAGCUGGUCGCAAGAGCAGGGUUAUUGAUGAAACCAAACCAAUGUUGGUGGUAGAUAGCGUGUUGCCCAUUGAAAAGUAUGAUCGCACCCUUUUCUACAACAUAGCAUUGAGCGAAACAUCUGAUAUCAUCAAACGAGUCUCCGUCACCCUGGAUGUGGAAACAGCGCA